GAUGAACGCUGGCGGCGUGCCUAAUACAUGCAAGUCGAGCGGACGGACGCGAAGCUUGCUUCUCUGAUGUUAGCGGCGGACGGGUGAGUAACACGUGGAUAACCUACCUAUAAGACUGGGAUAACUUCGGGAAACCGGCGCUAAUACCGGAUAAUAUUUUGCACCGCAUGGUUCAAAAGUGAAAGACGGUCUUGCUGUCACUUAUAGAUGGAUCCCGGCUGCAUUAGCUAGUUGGUAAGGUAACGGCUUACCAAGGCAACGAGGCAUAGCCGACCUGAGAGGCUGAUCGGCGGCAUUGGAACUGAGACACGGUCCAGAGUCCUACGGGAGGGAGCAGUAUGGAAUCGUCCGCAAUGGGCGAAAGCCUGACGGAGCAACGCCGAGUGAGUGAUGAAGGUCUUCGGAUCGUAAAACUCGGUUAUUAGGGAAGAACAGAUGUGUAAGUAACUGUGCACAUCUUGACGGUACCUAAUCAGAAAGCCACGGCUAACUACGUG
rnacentral:rRNA from 1 species